GGGGGACGAAGCCGGAGAAAUCCGGGGUAAUACCGCAUAACUUCGGGGGGGACGAUCUUCCUUCAAGAAAGGGUGGAGGGUAAGACCUUCACUCACUUUCGGAGGGGCUUGCGGCCUAUCAGCUAGUUGGUGAGGUAACGGCCCACCAAGGCGACGACGGGUAGCUGGUCUGAGAGGACGGCCAGCCGGACUGGGACUGAGACACGGCCCAG
rnacentral:rRNA from 1 species